AGAAAAAUGAAGAGGAAGGAUUAGAUUUCUAUUUAGUAAAAAAUUGACAAUUCAUUGUCGAAGAAAGGUAUUGUUGUUAAACACUGAAAAAUUGCCAGGAAGCAAUAAAGCAAAGUACUGAGAACAGUUUGGCAAUAGUUUCCAUGGGAGAAAGUAAUCAACACAAUUUAUUAAAAACAUAUGACAAUGAUCGAUAUACCAAAGAGAAUAAUUAAACAAUCCAACACUUUUUCUU